UUCUUGAAACGCUUGCGUUGCUAUCAUUUUUCUUAUCAUGAAAGAAAUUUAGACUAGCCACCUAUCUAGCAGGUUAGCAAGUCAAAACCACAAAAACAUAUAGAUCAGGAAGUCUCGAUGCUUUAACCUGAAAAGCUUCACAUUUCCAUGUUCCCGUGGCUAGGUUUUGGUCGUAUAUUCCCAUAUAAGAAGUCAUUCCAGGUGAGAACGCAUACACUGCAGCAUCACAAACUAAACAGAUGCACGACGACAUUUGUUGGCUCUCUCAUGACAAGGCUUGUUCUCUCAUAAUACUUCCAUUGGAAUGGUAGAAGAAACGUGGCGUUGGAACUUGAAUAUCGAAGCACUGGAAAGGGCCCCUUGUUCUAUAGGUAUUCUUAUUGAUCGACAUAGAAUCCUCGGCUUGUCUUCUAUUUCUGCCACAUCAAAGAUCUAUCGGCUAGCCAUACUGCUUGUCGGGAGGCGCACAUGACAGGGAGGCUCUAUCCUUUGCCUUAUGGACGGCCAAAAACCCCAGAGUUCAUCCAACAGUCAUGCGAGUGUGUAUGAUGAAGAAUUUUUGAGAAAAGUUAGAAUAGAAAUGCCAAGCGGUGCUAUUAUCAAUUUCAUAGACGAUAGCGCAAGAGAUGGAUCUGGAAUCUUCUCGUAGUUCAAUCAAUUUUGGCAGACCACGGCCUUAUCUUUGGAGGUCGUUGCCAUGAAACAGAGCCAGAAGCUCCAACAAGCCUAUCAGAAUGUAUGAAUUUGCGAAAGCUUGGGCCGAUAGGGGAUAUACUUGCUUCCGAGGAUAUUUUGUGACAUUAAAAACGCCAUCAACAUUGCCUCCCUAUAAAGUAUAAGCAGGGUACUGAAGCAUUAACGUCGUGGUGCGUGUGUUAGUUACGGCGAAGAAAGCAAGCACAUAGAUGGCCAAGGUAGAUAAAAUUAACUUGCUAAACUAUGAGACCAUAAUGUAAUCAGCUCUGUCGGAGAAACUAAUUGCAAAGAUAAUCAGAUAUUUCCAUGAUGAAUCUCAGCUUACCUUCUAUGUAUCACACAAAGGAUCAAAACCAACAUGGUCAACUGAUGUUGCUUCACUUUCUAUGUUUGUGUAGAUGGCAUAAUUUAGCUAGCUUAUACCCGGCCCCAGUAACCCACGAAAGCAAAAAUGUAUUAGCUUGUCGGUAUCUAGCUGGAUUGCAAAUCAUUUAAUUCCAAUUCUUGCGUCUUCCUUCAAUUAUUAUUUUAUCAUUUUGUUUUGCAAUAACUAAGGCAUUACUGACGCUCGAUGCAAUGCAAUUCCUUUUGAUUAAUUAGCUCUACUAGAAUCAGAUGAUAACAUGUAAUUUACUCUCUGUCCAAGGCCAUCCAUGCUCAAAACAAAUAUAAAAUAACUGGAUUUAAUCAGAUGCUUAUGAUUUCAUUUGCUUCAUUAUUCCCGAAUAAAGCUAAGAUUCUACAAAGCGCCUUCUUUUUUCUGCACAAUAACAUGAAAAACCCAGAUAAAAGAAACAGCUAGAACAGAAUUCAAAGUCUAAGAGCGAUUCUGUACAAAACAACCAACUGGGUUAUCCUCAAACUUGCCGAGUCACACAACUCUACUUCGGUUGCU